UACAGAGGGGGCAAGCGUUGUUCGGAAUUACUGGGCGUAAAGGGCGCGUAGGCGGCCUGCUAAGUCGAACGUGAAAUCCCCGGGCUCAACCCGGGAACUGCGUCCGAUACUGGCAGGCUUGAAUCCGGGAGAGGGAUGCGGAAUUCCAGGUGUAGCGGUGAAAUGCGUAGAUAUCUGGAGGAACACCGGUGGCGAAGGCGGCAUCCUGGACCGGCAUUGACGCUGAGGCGCGAAAGCCAGGGGAGCAAACGGGAUUAGAAACCCCCGUAGUCC
rnacentral:rRNA from 1 species